AUUGAACGCUGGCGGCAGGCUUAACACAUGCAAGUCGAACGAGUGGCGGACGGGUGAGUAAUGCUUGGGAAUCUAGCUUAUUGAGGGGGAUAACUACGGGAAACUGUAGCUAAUACCGCGUACCAUAGGAUGAGCCCAAGUGUGAUUAGGUAGUUGGUGAGGUAAAGGCUCACCAGGCCGACGAUCUCUAGCUGGUCUGAGAGGAUGACCGGCCACACUGGAACUGAGACACUGCCAAGACGCCUACGGGAGGAAGCAGUGGGGAAGAUUGGGCAAUGGGGGAAACCUGACGGAGCCAUGCCGCGUGAAUGAAGAAGGCCUGCGGGUUGUAAAGUUCUUUCGGUAGCGAGGCGUUAACUACAGAAGAAGCACCGGCUAACUCCGUGCCAGCAGCCGCGGUAAUAC
rnacentral:rRNA from 1 species